rnacentral:rRNA from 1 species
UAAGGAAUAUUGCGCAAUGGACGAAAGUCUGACGCAGCAACGCCGCGUGCAGGAUGACGGCCCUUUGGGUUGUAAACUGCUGUAGCAGGGGAAUAAUGGCCACCUCGGGUGGUUUGAAGGUACCCUGAAAGUAAGCGCCGGCUAACUACGUGCCAGCAGCCGCGGUAAUACGUAGGGCGCAAGCGUUGUCCGGAUUCACUGGGUGUAAAGGGUGCGCAGGCGGACUGGCAAGUCAGGGGUGAAAUCUCACAGCUCAACUGUGAAACUGCCUUUGAUACUGCUGGUCUUGAGUCAGGGAGAGGUUGAUGGAAUUCCAGGUGUAGCGGUGAAAUGCGUAGAUAUCUGGAAGAACACCGGUGGCGAAGGCGGUCAACUGGCCCUGAACUGACGCUCAGGCACGAAAGCGUGGGGAUCAAACAG